rnacentral:rRNA from 1 species
UACGUAGGGUGCGAGCGUUGUCCGGAAUUAUUGGGCGUAAAGAGCUCGUAGGCGGUGUGUCACGUCGUUCGUCGAAAACCUGCAGCUUAACUGUGGCGUGCGGUCGAUACGGGCAUCACUGGAGUUCGGCAGGGGAGACUGGAAGUUCCUGGUGUAGCGGUGAAAUGACGCAGACGUAUCAGGAGGAACACCGGUGGCGAAGGCAGGUCUCUGGGCCGAUACUGACGCUGAGGAGCGAAAGCGUGGGGAGCAAA